GACGAACGCUGGCGGCGUGCUUAACACAUGCAAGUCGAACGGAAAGGCCCUGCUUUUGUGGGGUGCUCGAGUGGCGAACGGGUGAGUAACACGUGAGUAACCUGCCCUUGACUUUGGGAUAACUUCAGGAAACUGGGGCUACUACCGGAUAGGAGCUCCUGCUGCAUGGUGGGGGUUGGAAAGUUUCGGCGGUUGGGGAUGGACUCGCGGCUUAUCAGCUUGUUGGUGGGGUAGUGGCUUACCAAGGCUUUGACGGGUAGCCGGCCUGAGAGGGUGACCGGCCACAUUGGUACUGAGAUACGGCCCAGACUCCUACGGGAGGCAGCAGUGGAGAAUAUUGCACAAUGGGCGGAAGCCUGAUGCAGCAACGCCGCGUGCGGGAUGACGGCCUUCGGGUUGUAAACCGCUUUCGCCUGUGACGAAGCGUGAGUGACGGUAAUGGGUAAAGAAGCACCGGCUAACUACGUG
rnacentral:rRNA from 1 species